rnacentral:sRNA from 1 species
UUUAAAAUUUAUUUCUCAUUAAAAUUAUAACACAUCCUUGUAAAAAUAUUAAAAUAGCGAGACAGAUGUGUCAGGGGUUAUGUAUAUGAAGGAGGUAGCACAGUUCCCAUCACAGGGGUGUGCUUAGGGUCCCCCUAAAGUUCAUGCCAGUGAAUGUGAUCGUGACUGUAAUUGGAAAUAGGGUCGUUGCAGAUGUAAUUAAUUAAGAUGAGGUCCCACUGGAGUUGAGUGGGACUGGUGUCCUUAGAGGAGAAGAGACACAGACACACACAACGCCACAUGGGACAGAGGCCUGCUGUCUACACCCAUGCAGAGGAGACAACAAGGAGAGUGGGGCAUGACCCCUGCCCAGGAGACCUGCCUCCGGGAAGGCAGCCAGCUACCCAUGUUCGCUGUGGUCAUCUCUGCAGGUGACAGAAUGGCAGAGCGGCAGUCUGAUCACUCUACUCUAUUGUGUGAGAGUCCCCGGGAUGAAGACCAGGCUCCCCAGCAAGAUAUGUGGCCCUCCUGGAGUUCUGGCCUUGUUUUUGGCUGUCGCCUGGCUGAUAUUCUGCACAUCUGCCCACCAUCCUUUGGACGGUCCACGAAUACAUUGUGCCUUCCUCUUUGCAUAUGCUGGUCCCUCUGCUGGAAAUGCCCUUCCUUCUUAGUGAGCUCCAAUGCAUCCCUCGAGACUCAGUUCAGAUGCGCCUCUCUGGACUCAUCCCCAACUCCCAGACGGGGUUGGCUGCUCCCUUUUUCAGAUCCUGAAACACUUACUUUCCCCCCUUUAUGUGGGCAUUUAUCUUCUAGUACAGUUUUUCUGUACUGUCGGAAUUGUGAGUUCCCUGAAGCUAGGUCAGCUUCCUUCUCAGCAUUCAGCAGGCGGUGGGGGAGGAGGGAAGGAGAGGAACUUUCUAAUAAAGAUGAACACCUCUUCGUGGUUAGGCGUGGUCAGACCAGCCCGUGCCUGUGCGACCUGCUGCAAGCCUUCACCUCUCAGAACCUCGGUUUUCUCAUCUGAGCCUCAGGCACGACAAUCUGCUAGACUCUGCUUCCCGGUGGCAGCUGGGGAAUGGGAUGGGAAGGAGCCCUGGGAUGCUCAGGUCGUCUCUGCCAGCAGAACGUCCCCAGAGUCAUGACCAUCAGCAUCUCAGCCUCGCUGCUUUUACCUUGGGGUCUGCAGGGGCAGGGCGCAAACCCUGCACGCUCACUGCGCAGUAACCUGCAGGGGCUUCUCCAGCAGCACCUCUGAGGCCUGCCUACCACGUGGAGAUGCUGCUCCCGUGAGCUCUGACCGCUGCUCUGCCCUCUUCUCACAGGAACCCAGUGACCACUCGGCCCGGCGUAACCACACAUGUCCACUGGUCACCUGGUGGCUUUCAACAAGAACGUGUGAUAAAUCCCUGCCGGAGUGUGGCUCCGGGAAUACGGGAAUACGCUGUCACCGCAAACAGCUCCUCUUUGUUGCAGGCGCCCGGGGGCAUGGCCCGGACCUCCCACUCUCGGGCAAAGGCCGAGGCAGCCCUCACAGCGGCUCAGAAAGCCCAGGAGGAGGCGCGGAUCGCCAGGAUCACUGCCAAAGAGUUCUCCCCUUCCUUCCAGCACCGGGAAAACGGGCUGGAGUACCAGAGGCCGAAGCGUCAGACCUCCUGUGACGACAUCGAGGUGCUGUCCACCGGGACACCCCUGCAGCAGGAGAGCCCCGAGCUGUACCGCAAGGGCACCACCCCCUCCGACAUGACCCCCGAUGACAGCCCCCUGCAGAGCUUCCCCGCCAGCCCCGCAGCCACCCCACCGCCCGCGCCCGCCGCCAGGAACAAGGUCACCCACUUCUCGCGGCAGGUGUCGGUGGACGAGGAGCGGGGCGGGGACAUCCAGAUGCUCCUGGAGGGCCGGGCCGGGGACUGCACCCGCAGCAGCUGGGGUGAGGAGCAGGCCGGGGGCUCCAGGGGUGUCCGCAGCGGUACCCUGCGCGGCGGCCUGCCCGUGGAUGACUUCCGCACCCGAGGUUCGGGCCGCAAGCAGCCCGGGAACCCCAGGCCGCGGGAGCGGCGGACGGAGUCACCCCCCGUGUUCACGUGGACUUCCCACCACCGGGCCAGCAACCACAGCCCUGGAGGCUCCAGGCUGCUGGAGCUGCAGGAGGAGAAGCUGAGCAACUACCGGAUGGAGAUGAAGCCCCUGCUGAGGAUGGAGACGCACCCCCAGAAAAGACGCUACAGCAAGGGCGGCACCUGCCGGGGCUUGGGGGACGACCACCGCCCCGAGGACCGGGGCUUCGGGGUGCAGAGACUGCGGUCCAAGGCCCAGAACAAGGAGAACUUCAGGCCGGCCUCCUCCGCGGAGCCCGCGGUGCAGAAACUGGCGAGCCUGCGGCUGGGUGGGGCCGAGCCCCGACUGCUGCGUUGGGACUUGACCUUCUCCCCGCCCCAGAAGUCCUUGCCUGUCGCUCUAGAGUCCGACGAGGAGAAUGGGGACGAGCUCAAGUCCAGUACGGGCUCAGCUCCUAUCCUGGUGGUCAUGGUGAUCUUGCUCAACAUCGGAGUCGCCAUUCUGUUUAUUAACUUUUUCAUCUGAUGAGAUGUCGCGGUAGCAAAAAUAGAGAAAGGGUAGAAAAAAGGGACAUUAAAAGCAAAACCACAAGAAGGGAAAGACCGCAACUCGGACAGCCCAGCGACUUCCAAGUCCUCUCACAGAAGAACCACACGACUGGGUAUCACUCACAGUUUGCCUUUUUUUCUGGGUAAUGUUUUUUGGAUUUUAGCCAAAAUUCUUCGCUUGUAUAACACUCUGCUGUGUGGCAUGGCAGAAGGAGGCCAGCACGCAGCCCCUCCAGCUCCACGUGGAAACAGAAGGGAUCCCGGCACAUCAGUGGUAACAGCGGAUGUUGUCCUCGUGGUCACACGUCCCGUCUUGGGUGUGGAUGGAGGGCAGCCCGGGGCAGAGCCUCAGCCCUGCGCCCCCUGAGCAGCAGGGCUGGCUCCCGUCGAUACGAGCUUGGAAAGUGGAUUCACUGCUUCCUCUGUCUAGAACAGACGGGUGGCAAGUACGGGCGGGAGGCGUGGAGCAGGGUGGCCCACCCCAGCAGGCAGUAGCCCAGCCUUUUUCUGUGUGAGAUCUGUGCUGCACACCUGAGGGAGGGGGAGGGAUCGGCCACCUCCUCCCUGUGAGACGGAUGCAGGUCCUUCCCUCUUCUCGGCACUGCCCCCGGCCUUCCAUGAGAAGCCGACUCACCACACCGAGUUUUAAAGCAAAGCCCUUUUCUUCUGCUGCCCACUCACCGUGGGCCCCAUUCGGCUGUUUCCCCCACCAGACCCCAGGGAAGCCGGGUCCCACUCUGAUCCGCCUGGGCUCAGCUAAGCACGGAAGCCGAGGGGCUGUGCCGUGGAGCUGGCCUUGCGCUGGGGCUCUGGGUGUGUGCGCGCUUGUGCACUUGGCGUGCAGGGUGGACGCGUGGGCUUCCGUGUCCCUAGCAGUGAGGGGCCUAGAGGACGCCUUCUCCCAUGGUUACUGACCUCCACGGGUUUUCACAUCUUUGUACUGUGCCUGCCUCAACUUCCCCUAACAGAUAUGCAUAUUCCUUCCAGAUGCCUCAGUGCUACACUAGAGUGGGCCUGGUCCCAGGACAGGAAUGUGGUUCAAACCCAGUGGCUUGAAACUUCCUGAGAAAUUGUAGCAUAUCCAACCCCCCAAAAUGUACAAUGUAAACUUGUUCAGUCCAACAAAAACAGGUUCCUUAUGUUUCUGCCUUCUCCACCAGGGUCGCUCCAUCACCCAAACAAAAGAACAAGGUUUGCCAGGAUGUCCGAGUGCCCCGCGGCCCUGGCUCUCGUGUGCAUGGACGUGCCUGAGGGUCCGGGCACGGCCAUACACAGGACCCCUGUGCCCGGGGAGGCACUGCAGGGAUUCCCCAUCCGGUCGUCUUGGGGCCAGCCCGUCUUAUGGACUCUGCCUUGCUUUGCUUAUGUUUAGCUGUUUCUCUGCUACCUUUCGAGCAGACUUCUUUACUACACUGCACUGGAUUGCUAUAUUUUUAACCAGAAAUAAACUAAAGAUUAGAGC